GUUUAUUUCAAAUGAGAAGAUUUAGGCUGUUUGCUUUCCAGUGCACAGCAAUGGCCUUAUCUCAUGCCAGCAGUGAGCCAAGGGCCUUUUGACCGUACCCUAUUGCACUCCUUAUUGCAGGAGAGCACGGGAUGCCCGGCAGACCCGCGGCUGUCCCUGCUCUGGAAGGCAGCACACGCAUAGGAACCAGCAUCAGCCAUGCAGUAGCAAUUCCAAAGAUGGAAAUUCUGCCCGUGCUGAGUGCACCACCGAAAUGGCAUGUGUGUAACAGCAGGAGAGGAGUUUGUCCCUUCGCCAUAGACAGCAAACACUCACCAAGUGCAAAAAAGCCACAAGUGGAAGCACCUAACAAGGAAUCACUGCUGACCCUCUCGCCCUACGCAGCCGAUGCAGCGUCUCCAACAUCCACCAUCAGGUUUGUCCCCAAGACAUCCAUCCUUUACACCAGACUAACAACCACCAAGCAGUGGUACCCAAACUGCAGUGAGCUUUACUUUAACAAAGAAAACCAGGCAGCGAUAGGAAGGCAAUGGAGCUGAGCUCGGGGCACAGAGCUCCUGCAGCUCCACACCAGGUGAUGUAUCACAGCCCUCAAACAAAUGACUUCCAUGUCUCAGUGCUACACACCCAGUGCCGAGGAGCUCCGGGGUGAGUGGCCCUGCACCCGUGUGAAAGGAGUGCUGCUGUUCCUGUGCUGCUGCUCUGAGCAGGGAGGAAAGGAGCUGCAGAGAGAUAAAAUGAAACGCCCCAGGCAACAGUAUACAGUUUACAUAGGAGGUCAUUAUAAAAAGGAAAUAAAAUGUAUAUAUAAGUAUAUAUACACACAUGGAGAAGGUGAGAACUCAGACCGGCUUCCCCGGUGCUCAACAAUGACUGUAAGAGCUUCCCUGUCCACGGUGUGACACACAGGAGCAAACACAGAGUUAAACGAUGCUCUGAAGUGCAGGGCCGGUUCACAGCCCAGCAUCCCGGCGCAGACAACAGCUGAACCCUGCCCAGCACAGGACACCCGGAGCACAACCCAACAGUGCAUGGAGACCCCAGCCAGGACCUCGGGGCCCUGUUAGUUUAGGCCUGACCUACACAGAAGAGGAGAUGUCAGCACGCUGAGGACACGCGGGAGAGGCAGCGGAUGAGCACCGAUGCCAUCAGUCACUGGUGUUUCAGCACUGUGCCCUUCCUGCUGCUGGCGUGGCUCCCACCCCAGUCCUCCCAGCACCUCACCAGUUGCACUGUGCCUUUUACUGGUGUUCAGGGGCUGCUGCUCCUCCUCACCAGUGCCUCGCGCUCAUCCUGCUUCAUUUGAUACCUUCUGCUUCCUCCUGGGGCUGCUUCGGCCUCGCAGCACACCCUGCUCUUAAAAAGGUUUAAAAUGAAUGCUUUCCCUUUAUUAUUUUUAGGUCCACACAGAUAUUUUAAGUGCAUCCAUUUCAGCUCAAUAAGUGCACAGCCAUAAAGCAGCCCUGCUGACAGCUACCCCGGCCCCGCUGCCCACUCGCUGCCGACCUCUCCAUCCCAGGUGGGUCGGCGAUGGGAGCUGUGAACGUUACACCUCUGCUUCCCCUGCAGGAAAAACCAGGCUGUGCUGCAUGCUGUAAAUGCCUUUCACAUGUUCCCCAGAUCCCAGUUAAAUUGAACCCCAGAAGGUCUCUCAAAGCAUGAAAAAUGCAUUUAUAAGAUGCUGGAAGGAAGAUGUAUUCCAUAACUACUCUGGUGACCAGGCGUGCUGACUUGUGUCAUGUGGGGAAGGAACCAAAAGGGGGUAUUUCUUGUUAUUUCAUACCGCUGAUGGGAUUUUAUCUCUGGCAGCAAAUCCAGGAACUUUUUAGUUACCGUUA